rnacentral:tmRNA from 1 species
GGGGGCGCACCGGAUUCGACGGGAAACAAGGCGGUUCGCAGGUUGCGUGCCGAGAUUGCUCUCGUAAAACUGUCAGCGCAAGCUGCCAACGACAACUACGCACUCGCGGCUUAAUUGACCGCGACGUCGCCUGCCACGGCCUGGUCCACGGCAGGGCAGGUGGCGACGCUAAAGUGGACCGAACGUCACGGUUGGUUCCGUACCGUGCCGGGAUCGUCAAAACGGAACUGGCGCCGUCGGGGGCUGCCUUCUGCCAACCCGCCGGGGCGAUGACUUGAAACGAAGGCUACGCACGUAGAGACCAGCGGGACGCGUUUUCCGGACGUGGGUUCGAUUCCCACCGCCUCCACCA